rnacentral:tRNA from 2 species
GUUCUUGUAGCUUAUGCAAAGCAUGGCACUGAAGAUGCCAAGAUGGUCGUUACACUCACCCAAGAACA